rnacentral:rRNA from 1 species
AUGGCCCAGGUUGGUGGAGCAAUGGGCCGGCUGGUGCGUUGGGCCUUGGCGUCGAAAGCGUGCAUAGCUGGACCUCGCUGGAAGAGGCAGGACGCGGUAAACGCGGUUGGGACGAGCGGGCAUCCUCUGCUUGAUAGGAAGCAGAGCCGCUGCGGCGCGGGCAACUCCGAAGGAGGACGGAGCGACGGGAACGGGAGGAGAUCGCUGGACAUGGCGCAGGGCUGCCCGAAUCUCGCUGGAGAUGAAGCAGAUCGGGUGGUGGCGCAACAAACGUGGCCGGCGGUGGGCUCCUGUCCAUGGGGGAAAAGAGAGAGGCCACGGAUAAGCACAUGCAAGACAUACAUCAAGUGUUCUCAAAAUCCUUAA